rnacentral:lncRNA from 1 species
CUGAUAUGAAGGUUGGUGCACAUUCAAGACGCUUAGAAGCUGAGAGACUUGUUCUGACGUAACUGAUCCAAGACAAACCCCUUGUUGAUUAUGCAUGGAGAUACCACCAUUAUCUUGUACAACCAUAUUGGCAACAUUCUCUUUGCGAGGAGGCCACUGUUGAGUAGACUUGUUAGAGUCUGUAGAGGGAGUAGCUGACAGUG